AGAGAGGUGUCCGAGUGGUUGAAGGAGCUAGCCUGGAAAGCUAGUAUACGGGUAACUGUAUCGAGGGUUCGAAUCCCUUCCUCUCUACAA
rnacentral:tRNA from 1 species